GGCUUAGUGGUAGAGCAUCGGUCAUGAUAGCUGAUGACGUCGGUUCGAGUCCGAC
rnacentral:tRNA from 1 species